rnacentral:rRNA from 1 species
UACGUAGGCAGCGAGCGUUGUUCGGAAUUACUGGGCGUAAAGAGUGUGUAGGCGGUGCUCUAAGUUCGGUGUGAAAUCUCCUGCUUAACUGGGAGGGUGCGCCGGAAACUGGAGUGCUCGAGCGUGGGAGAGGAAAGCGGAAGUUCCUGGUGUAGCGGUGAAAUGCGUAGAUAUCAGGAGGAACACCUGUGGUGUAGACGGCUUUCUGGACCAUUGCUGACGCUGAGACACGAAAGCGUGGGUAGCAAACAGG